AAAUAAACAUUUAAAGAUUAGGUGUGUAAUAAAUCAUAGUCAUAACCAUAAUAAUAAUUUGUAUGAAUUACAUGAAUCUUGUGAAUACUUGAAAAACUGAAAGUAAAUUAUGGUUACAGUAAACAGUUAAAGGUGUUUUUGGUAAAUUUAAGGUCAUUCAAUUGGUUUGUGUUGAUUUUUGUGGCCUUUUCUUGUGACCUUGUCCAAAAUUGUUUUCCCACAACAGCAAAUGCUACAACCAAUAUUACAAGUAAUACAUAUUGUAUUAAUAAGGUUAUGAAAAAAAGGUAAAGAGAAAAGGAAAGAAGAGAAAAUUUAAAGGGAAAAAGACGGAAAAAUUGCAACAAUUCUUGAGGUUUUCACUCAUCUUUACACUAUAACUAUGAUUACUGAAAAAAGAAACUAGAAAUAUUUGGAAAUUCAAAUUCCUUUUCAUCAUCUUUGUUAUUCACCUUCUCCUGACGUGCUCAUGAAUUUUUUAAUUUGUUAACCUUUAUUGAACCGGAAAUAUUUUGAAACAUGGUGCAUAUGUGAUUAUGGUUAUUCAUGGUAAAUUUGGUUGUUGGAUUCCGUAAAAUAUGGUUACCUCUCACAACCUUCAACUUAUCAUUCCACUUUGACAAAAUGUAUCAAAGUAAAAGUACAGAAGCAAGAAAAAUCGACAUUGAAUAAAAUCUCAAAGGACGAUCACCUUUAUAAAAGCAGGUGAUCUAAAGAAACACUCAAAAGUACAUUCACACACAUACAGAGAGUGGAAGACAAUUGUAUUGUCAAACGGAAGAGGCACACAGCAAUACACAAGACGGAGAUGAAGGAAAAGCCAGAAAAGGAUCAAAACCUAAAUUGAAAGAAAGAGUGAGAUCGAAAGGCCAGCAAUUCAAGAGUGAGACAGCAACUGUUAGAGGUACAAUUUGUGUGUCCAUCGGUAAAUUGUUACCUGUAAAAGUAUAAUAGUAUUGAAAGAAGAGACCAAAAGAGAAAGAGAAACAAUCUUGAUAACAUUGAGAGUAACUGUGGUCCAACCAAAAAUAAGGGCAACUUCAUCAAUGGCUAAGGUGGAUCCCUCUUUGCAGAUGGUGUAGGAAGUCCGUUUCCGCUUUCACACUCUCUGUCUCUCUGGCUCUGUCUUCUCUGUCUUCAUCUCUUUCUCUUCUUCUCUUUCAUUUCCUUUCAUUUCUCCUUUACUAUCGAGAAAUAAGUGAGUAAAGAAAGAAAGAGAAGAAAAAAAUUGAGCAAAAAUGUGAAUGAAACUUGUAGUUUGCUUGAAACCUUACUAUUAUACUUGAUAUGCUUCUCUUCCUCAUCUCUCAUCAUCACCAAAAAACUAUCAUCAUCUUUCUUCUCGUCUCUCAACUAAACAUUACAUUAAAAGAAAAGGCAACAAUUUCGCUGUUUUAAGGGCCAACAGCAAAUGUUAAAUAGUUACUCGGUGGCCUUACAUUUGGAUCUUUAAUAGCACAGUGAAUCAAAUACAUUCACAAUUUGGCCUUCCUUCAUAUAUCCUCAUCAUCAUUAUCAUCAUCAUUCUCUUGAUAGCCAACUUGAACGUCAUCUUCACCCUCCUCCACCUCCUCCUUCAACUAACUACUAUUACUGAUCAAAUGUAAUACACACACACACAUAGUUUCAAGUUAAAUUAGCCGGCAACUUUGACGCUAUCUCAUCGUAAUACUCCAUUUACGAUAGUUAAGAUGAUGUAGAUGAUGUUGAUUGUGAUGUGAUGAUAAUAUAAAAAGUUGAUUUCUUCCUUGUGAGUUCCUUUCCAUUUUAAUGCCUCAUUUUUCAACUUGAAAUAAAGACUGAAAUGAGAAAUAUUUUGUUUCACUUUUUUCCCUUCCUUUGGCUUGUAAAAAAUCAAAAACACUUAUCAAUUGCUAUUCAAUUGAUGCUUUUUUGUAUCUUUCCUUCCCCGCUUGUUUAUGCUUGUGUGUCUUUUUACAUUUUAUCAACACAACAAUCAACAUUACCAUCAUUAUGGAACACUAUAUUCUCACUAUUCAUUCAACAGUUUUGUUAGACUUGCUUUACUUCCGAUUAUUAACUUAAUCCAAAUACAAUCUGAGUCAAAUGGUUACAAUUAAAAAACCUGUUCCCUGUAAAGUGGAGUUAAAGGUAAACUAGAAAUUAAAAGGUAACAGAUGUAAGAUGAAGGACAUGAAGAUUCACUUCUUCCCUUGAGGCAAAUGAUCCAUAGGAAUCAUAAUAUUAAUAAUAGAUGACAGCACUUAACAAAACUAUGAAAACACCUGAGAGUAUUAUUUUAUUUUGUUUGUUUGUUGAUAGUCACGAUUAAUUGUAAUUUGAUAAUAUGUCGUCAAUUUUGUCGCUUAACAUUAUCAUUGUCACACUUUAAAGAGUAAUCAUCAUCUUCAUAAUCGUUGGUCAUCAUCAUUUUCAUCAGCUUUUAUCAUUUUAACCACGGAAAGGAAGCAGACUAAUGUUACCAUUGCUGUUGACAUGAAGGUUGAUAUUUAUUUACAACUAAAAUACCGUUUAAUAAUAUCCUCUUCCUUUGCUUCAUCAUCUUCAUCAUCAUAUUUAGUGAGAUAUUAUUUUUCACAUUUAAGGACAACUCAACAAAAGAUAAUUAAUACUCAUAGAUAAAUUGUUAAGAUAACAGUUUGUUAUGGUAUUUUUUUGUCACUUCAUUCGGAUGUUGCCUGUUUUUUUGGACUUUUUUCUUGAUGCCUUUUGAUGCUGUUGCUGUUAACAUAUAUUAGUAUCAUCGUCAUUGAUGACAAAUCGUGAUUGGUCUUGUCGUUACUUGUCUUCACUACCAUCCUUAUCAUCGUUGACUGAACACAGGAAGGAGAGGCCGAAGAAUCAAGAUGAAAUAAACAAAAAUCUAGCAACUUCAUUGCCACAAACAGAAAUAUUAUCUAUCAUAAUGAUGUUAUUUAAUAUGGUUUCCAUCAUUUCCAUCAUUGCUGAUGACUGUUAAAUCACUUGAAUAUUCAUUCGUAAAUUUAAUCUGCCAUUGUCAUCGUGACGAGUUGCAAUAUCCAUAUAAUUUGACUAAGCGAUUUUUUGGUUUCUAUUGCGAUUAUCUGAAAUAUUCAAGUUGAAUUUGAUUUUUACCUUGAAAUAUAAAUGUUUUAAAGAUUGGUUCAAUUGAUUGUAAAAAAUUCACUGUUGGCCUGUUUCUGCAAUUAGAGCAGCUUCUUAAGCAGCUAUUUACGAUCAGUAAUACUUGGAAGCUUGGAACCUGCAAAACGGAUGCCAUUUAUUUCAAUGAGAAUAUGACCUUUUUCCCUUGGCUUAUCAAAGUUAAAUCAUAAUUAAUUCUCAUUGUGAAUAGUUUUCACUCUAAUAAACAUGUUUGAUCUUUAUCUAAUAGUUAUCAAAUGAUUGUGAAAAAAUGCAGGUAACUAGUUGAUGGUGCAGCUUUUAAAGAGCAAUUGGCAAAACCGUUUCUCAUUUUAUUGAACCAAUUGGUAGUUUAUUUGCAUAAUAACGAUUAACUUGAUGAUAAUUUUUUGCAUUACUUUCUUUUACCUUUUAAAAUACAGUUUAUAUGAUUAUUAAGUUUAUUGAAAAUAGUUGUAAAAUGUAUGAUAUUAACAUGAUGGCGCAGCAAAAGCCAGGUAAAGAAAGCAAGUUAAAGGUCAACGAAAGGAAGACGCUGGAAAUUGAUGGAGAUGAAGAUGGCGAAAGAAAAGAAUUUCUCAGAUUUGUUUAAGGAACAAAAAUAUUGCAUCUUACAAGUGAUGACCUGAGGUCUCUUCAAGGGGCAAAGUUGAAUUGAUGGCAAAAAAUAAAGCCAAGGCCUGAGUCACGCAAAUUCCUUUGAUCAAGAAAAAAGAUGAACAAGAGACGGCAAAAGAAGAUUACAAAGAUGAAGAUGACGAUUCAAUGGAAGAUGUUGUUGUUGAUGUUGCUCUUGAUAUCAAUAAAAUGUAAGAAAUGCUGUUCAUUUCAUUUUGUUUGACCUGUCAUGUUGCAGCCUUUUCAACUGUACACUUGAACGGAUCAUUGGAUACAAUAUUAGUCGCCAUACAUUUAGUUUUAUCAUUCAAAUCAAGUCAUCAACAUUAUUAUGAUGGACUAUUAUUUGGCCUUUUGGCAUGGAAAUGAAAUUUUGCAGCAAAAAACAUAAACAAAUUCCUUGUGAUCAUCGGUAAAUUGUCCGUGAUUGUGGUUAACAUAGGCUUAGCCAUGUAUUAAAAUACAUGUGGGGAUGUUGAUAAGCUUGACUCAAGGAUGGCGAGGUUGAUGAUGAAGAAGCUUGGUAAGAUGAAGCCAAGUAAAGAUGAUGAUGAUGAUGUUAUGUUAUAUAAUAUAUUACAUAAAAAGUGAUAUGCAAGAUGAAAUCGUUUGAUGUUAGAUUUGCUUCCACUUAUGUUUACUGGAAAAAAGAUAAAGAUGUUGGUGAUGAUGAUGAUGGCAAGAUGAGCAAUGAAAUAUAUUUUUUCAAUGCUACAUGUAUAUCCUGUUGUCAUUGUUGUUUUCCCUGACUAAUCUAGCAAACAAUUUACUGGUUCAAGAAAAUUUAACAAAAAGUCUCUCUGGCCUUAAAGAUGUUAUUAAGAUUUUUCAAAUAAUGCGCUUCUCUGGUUUCCUUCAACUUGUCAUAUGUUUUCAGCUAAAAAUUGAUAGAUAUCGUUGUUUAAAUUAAAGAUGUAUUUCAUUGUAAAUUUUUCACUUGAAAAUUGAAAGAUAAAUGUCCAUUUGUAAAUUGACUUUUUGUUUAUUUCCUAACCAUCAACAUUGAUUAUUUCAAUUGAAGCAGCCCAUUAAGCAGACCAGUGCGUUUAUUGAUCCUUUUAUUUUAGUGUUAAUCUUUAUCGCCAUCUUAAUCAUCAUCACAUUUCUUGCUCUUUUCUUCCGUUAAAUGAUUUUCUUUCCCAUGGAACAAAUAUUUUCAAUACAUUUUACUUUGAGAUGGAAAACACCGAAAAAUACUUAAAACCUCAGAUUGUGACCUUUUUAUUUUUCCUGUGAAUCUGGUUUUUGGUCCUUUACCAGCCGUGAUAAUGAUGACCCUUUAAUUCUUGAUAGUCUAUGGGAAUAUCCGGUCCAUUGAAUCAGCUGAUUAACGAUACUGUGACAUGAGAAUCGUAAGAGUUUGAGUCUCUUUGAGUUACAGUAAAGCAAGUGUUUCGAGUAAAGAAGGAUUCCUUGUCUAUUUUUCUUCCGCUUUUCUGUUCUUUUUCUUCUUUUUCCUUUCUUUCUUCUUUUUCUUCUCUAUCUUCUUUGUCUUCCCUUUCUUCUCCUCUUCACCUCACUCGAAUUUCUUAUUUCAUUUCACUUUACCUUUACAUUUUUCUCUGUCAUUUUUCAUCUUGCAGGUAAAAGAUACUUAACCAACCGACUAACGGAUGUUUUGUUGAUAACACACUUUCAUUCUGUCAAUUGAAAAGUAAUUGACAGAACUGAAAUAAAUUGUGAUAAACAAGGGUAACGUCAAAUAUUUUUAGUCUAAAAUCAAUUGAAGCUCUGUUUGUUUACUCUUACCUGUUAUAACAGACCAAGCUAUAACAACAAACGACAAUCAUGUUGAUAGUUUUUGACCAAUGAAUCCAUAAAUCUUUGUUUUCAUUUUUUUCCUUCUCUCUGUAAAAACCAUUAAUUAUCUUUAAAAUACAAUUAUCCUCAUCAUCAGUAUCAUCAUUAUUUCAUUUCAUUUGUAGAUUUUUGCUUCUUUUUGCUUUUCCCAACUGUCCAACCAAAUAACUGUUUAUCCAAAUCAUUUAUUUGACAGCCUGUUAAUUAACUAAUGAACAGUUUACUUGUCAAUUAUUGUCACUAUCAUUUCAACAAUUUAGACUUAAAAUAGCAUUUACAGAAUCAGUAUUUUCUUAAAUGAUUAAUGAUUUACGUUAUGAACUUUUCAUUAUCAGACCAAAGAAAAUAAAUCUUACUCUUAACAGAUAGAUUGACAAAAUAUUGAUUUGUUUUUAAAAAUAAUCAACCUUUUAUUAACAAUUAAAUUUU